rnacentral:rRNA from 1 species
UACGUAGGGUGCAAGCGUUAAUCGGAAUUACUGGGCGUAAAGCGCACGUAGGCGGAUCGAUCAGUCAGGGGUGAAAUCCCAGAGCUCAACUCUGGAACUGCCUUUGAUACUGUCGAUCUGGAGUAUGGAAGAGGUGAGUGGAAUUCCGAGUGUAGAGGUGAAAUUCGUAGAUAUCGAGAGGAACACCGGUGGCGAAGGCGGCCAACUGGACGAAUACUGACGCUGAGACUCGAAAGCGUGGGGAGCAAACAGG